rnacentral:rRNA from 1 species
GUGCCAGCCGCCGCGGUAAGACGAACCGAGCGAACGUUGUUCGGAAUCACUGGGCUUAAAGGGCGCGUAGGCGGGUUCGCAAGUCUGUGGUGAAAUCCUCCGGCUCAACCGGAGAACUGCCUUGGAUACUGCGGGUCUCGAGGGUGAUAGGGGUAUGCGGAACUAUCGGUGGAGCGGUGAAAUGCGUUGAUAUCGAUAGGAACUCCGGUGGCGAAGGCGGCAUACUGGAUCACUUCUGACGCUGAGGCGCGAAAGCCAGGGGAGCAAACGGGAUUAGAAACCCUUGUAGUCC